AUACUUACCUUGCUCGAACUUCUGAUGCUCAUGAAUCUCGGAAGUUAAGGGGAAAGGCCUGCAUUGCACAGCGCGGCGUCGAUCCCCUUCGAUUGUCCUUCGGGGCCAUCGCGGGUGGAAUUUUUGAUUUUUACCACACGGUAC
rnacentral:snRNA from 15 species